rnacentral:misc_RNA from 1 species
CAAAACCUCCUUUCCACUACUUCGUAAACUGGAUUCAUCAUCAGAGGGAAAGUAAAGAACAAGUUUAUGCAAAGACCAAUUUGAACUAGGCUGCUAAGUAAUCCUUGUCCAAGAUUCGUCGUAAUUAUAUCCUUUGUAUCUUCACCAAAAGCAAAAUAUCCCAAUACACCAAAAGCACCAUACAAUAGAGAUAUCAAAGCCAUUGAAAAACCCAAGAUUUUCCCAAAUUUUGCCUUAUCUUUUGUCUCAGCUUCCAAAGGCAAUACCAUUCCAACACCUUCAAAAGCAUAAACAGCAACACCAAGACCAUAGAAAAACACACUAAAUCCACCAAAAGUUUCAAGAACAUGACUACUCUUCACAUAAAUCAUCACAUCUUUAACCAUCACAACCCCCAUAGCUCCUAAUUCAACAACAUCAGCAAAAAUACUCAAAGGGGCUAACAGGGUAAGAGUAGGAAUUGAAUUCAACCCCAACUGAAAAGGAAAACAGCUCCAAAUAUACACAGCUUUAGGUGGAAAGCCAAAGACUUUAGGAUUUGGAUUAGUUUUGGAGUAGUUAAAACAAUAUGCUAAAGUAUUUGCUAUGAAAAUCAGGUAACUAAUACAAAAACCAGCUUGUGACAGAACAAUCAUAACAUCAACAGCAGACCUACCAAUAGGUCCACAAACAGCAAACCCCAAAUCACCAAAAGAUGAAAUUUUUGCAGCUUUUAUGUGGGAUUCAAUCUUACGCCUUGAAUAGACCAAAAGCAUCAUACAGUAGUAGGUAAGAAAGGCAACUGAGAAGAGCAUGAUAGAACCCAUAACCCAUCCAGUUCUCUUAAAGGUGUAAGGAAGACCAAGAACUCCAGCUCCAACUAUGGCUAUGAAAACAUUAGCAAAAGUCUUGGAAGGAGAAGAAAGAUGUUGAAUCUUGCCAAGAAGUGGUGUAUCUUCUCUUGGGAUACUCAAAACAUGAGAAGAUGAACUUGCUUCAUCUUUCUUAAACCCCAUACUCUUAUUAUCCCAAAAUCAAGAAUCCAAUCAAACUUCUACACAAACCCCAGAUAUUAAAAAUCAAAACUUUAAGAUUUGAUUAACAAGAAGAAGAAAAAAAUCAAGAUUGAAUCUUUUCUCUUGCUCUUUUUGAAU